rnacentral:rRNA from 1 species
GACGAACGCUGGCGGCGUGCUUAACACAUGCAAGUCGAACGGAAAGGCCCUGCUUUUGUGGGGUGCUCGAGUGGCGAACGGGUGAGCAACACGUGAGUAACCUGCCCUUGACUUUGGGAUAACUUCAGGAAACUGGGGCUAAUACCGGAUAGGAGCUCCUGCUGCAUGGUGGGGGUUGGAAAGUUUCGGCGGUUGGGGACGGACUCGCGGCUUAUCAGCUUGUUGGUGGGGUAGUGGCUUACCAAGGCUUUGACGGGUAGCCGGCCUGAGAGGGUGACCGGCCACAUUGGGACUGAGAUACGGCCCAGACUCCUACGGGAGGCAGCAGUGGGGAAUAUUGCACAAUGGGCGGAAGCCUGAUGCAGCAACGCCGCGUGCGGGAUGACGGCCUUCGGGUUGUAAACCGCUUUCGCCUGUGACGAAGCGUGAGUGACGGUAAUGGGUAAAGAAGCACCGGCUAACUACGU